rnacentral:rRNA from 1 species
UACGGAGGGUGCAAGCGUUAUCCGGAUUCACUGGGUUUAAAGGGCGCGUAGGUGGGUCUGUAAGUCAGUGGUGAAAGCCCGGAGCUCAACUCCGGAACUGCCAUUGAAACUGUUUAGCUUGAGUAUGAGAGAGGUGAGUGGAAUUCCCAGUGUAGAGGUGAAAUUCGUAGAUAUUGGGAAGAACACCGGUGGCGAAGGCGGCUCACUGGCUCAUUACUGACGCUCAGGCGCGACAGCGUGGGGAUCAAACAGG